rnacentral:rRNA from 1 species
AGAGUUUGAUCAUGGCUCAGAACGAACGCUGGCGGCGUGGAUAAGACAUGCAAGUCGAGCGCUGAUUACGGGGUAGCAAUAUUCCGUGGUCGGAGCGGCGCAAGGGUGCGUAACACGUGGGUAAUCUGCCAUGAAGUUCGGGAUAACUUGCUGAAAGGCGAGCUAAUACCGGAUGUGACAACUAGAAGACAUCUUUUGGUUGUUAAAGUUGGGGACCGUAAGGCCUGACGCUUCUUGAUGAACCCGCGGCCUAUCAGCUAGUUGGUGAGGUAACGGCCCACCAAGGCUAAGACGGGUAGCUGGUCUGAGAGGACGACCAGCCACACUGGAACUGAGACACGGUCCAGACACCUACGGGUGGCAGCAGUCGAGAAUUUUUCACAAUGGGCGCAAGCCUGAUGGAGCGACGCCGCGUGGGGGAUGAAUGGCUUCGGCCCGUAAACCCCUGUCAUUUGCGAUCAAACCUUAUUAUUUAAAAGAUGAUGAGCUGAUAGUAGCGAAAGAGGAAGGGACGGCUAACUCUGUGCCAGCAGCCGCGGUAAUACAGAGGUCCCAAGCGUUGUUCGGAUUCACUGGGCGUAAAGGGUGCGUAGGUGGUGAGGUAAGUCGGAUGUGAAAGCUCGGAGCUCAACUCCGAAAUGGCAUUGGAAACUACCUUGCUAGAGGGUUGGAGGGGGGACUGGAAUACUUGGUGUAGCAGUGAAAUGCGUAGAUAUCAAGUGGAACACCAGUGGCGAAGGCGAGUCCCUGGACAACUCCUGACACUGAGGCACGAAAGCUAGGGGAGCAAACAGGAUUAGAUACCCUAGUAGUCC